AGAGAGAGACAUGCGCGCAUAUCAAUAAGCGGAGGAAAAGAAACUAACUAGGAUUCCCUCAGUAACGGCGAGUGAAGCGGGAAGAGCUCAAAUUUGAAAUCUUCAAGGUUCUACCUUGACGAAUUGUAGUUUAAAGAAGUGUUUUCUGUUGAGGUUUUGGUAAAAGUUCUUUGGAAUAGGACAUCAUAGAGGGUGAGAAUCCCGUAUUUGACCAUUACUUUCCAACUUUGUGAUACACUUUCAAAGAGUCGGAUUGUUUGGGAAUGCAGUCCAAAAUGGGUGGUAAAUUUCAUCUAAAGCUAAAUAUUGGCGAGAGACCGAUAGCGAACAAGUACCGUGAGGGAAAGAUGAAAAGAACUUUGAAAAGAGAGUUAGACAGUACGUGAAAUUGUCAAAAGGGAAGCGUUUGACACCAGUGUUGUUUUCUCGAAAAUCAAUUAAAAAAGGCAGGAUUUUGUGUUGUAUUGACUUUAUCAGCUUUCCUGCACUCUUUUCUUGUCUUUUUUAAUGCACUUUUCGUUUAACAAGUCAACAUCAAUUUCUUUUGUUGUAAAAGGGUCAUUGGAAGGUGGCUUUCUUUUCGGAGAAAGUGUUUAUAGCCUUUGGCCUCUGCAAUCGGAGAGAUUGAGGUCUGCAGCGUAGAUCCUUCGGGGUUAGAUACAUUUGUGCUAAGUUAUAGCCUUUCAUAGACAACUUGUUGACUAUGAUCAGUCAUGUAGCUUACUCGCUUAUGCUAUUUUACCUACGCUUAGGAUGUUGAUGUGAUACUGCGAGCA
rnacentral:rRNA from 1 species